AGGCGGACGUGCUAACCAGUGUAUGUGUCACGGAUCGGAGUGUGGAAAUGGAGCAGGGCGACCAAGUGCAGCUUGGACCAGGGUUUAUUGCAGGAACUCAAAAGACAGACUCGGCAAACUAACAUAACUUACUGGCAAAAUCAAUAACAG